UCAUCAUCAUUAUUAUUAUUAUUAUAAUUAAGAUCAGGGCAGGUUAGCUAGUUGAACAGAGCAGCUUCUAAAAGUCCUCAGAGAUGAUUUCAGACUGACUCAGAACACGUGAACUUCCAGACACUGAUUCUGUAAAAUCAGCUUUUUUCCAUCCGGAGCAUUUCCCAAUGGAUUCCAGCUAAAGACAAAAAAACAUCUUUAAACAUUUUUUAUCCAAAUUCAGCAGAAAUCAGUUCAGAAAAACAAACAGCAGCUUCUCAGUCACUCAGAUUAGUUCACUUCAAUCUAUUUACAGUCAAGAUUUCACACUAAAACCAUUAGAAGUCUAUUUUUUUUAUUAUAUUUUUAUUUUCUCCUCAUGUUUACAUUUUCAGGACAUAUUUUCUACUCGUUUGUCUUUUUUUCUUCUGCAGCUUGAAAUUAUUUGCAUAUGAGAAAAAAGGUAGAUUCUGAUUUAUGAAUUUUAAACAAAUCAUUUCCAGUAGAUUUGAGUCAUUUUGGUCUAUUUUUUUCUUUUUUUAAAAGUUAAUUCUAGACAAGUUUUAAGUCAUUCAGGGCAAGUUUAGAUCAUUUUGAGGACAUUUUUCAGUCAUUUUUUACAUCUUUUGGACAGAUUUUGAGUAAUUUGGGACGAUUCCCAUUUUGUACAUUAUUCAGCCACGUUGAACGAUUUUUAAAUAAUAUCAGGAACUCUUCUGUAAUUUUUCUGCAUUUUUUAAAAAUCAUUUUGGACAAGUUUCAGGUCAUUUUGUACUUCUUUUUAAAUAAUUUUGGAUUUUUUUUCAUUUACUGUAGAUUUCAGUCAUUUUGGUCUUUUUUCUUUUUAAAAUAUAGUUCUGGAUGAGUUUUAGAAUAGAAUAGAAUAGAAUGCCUUUAUUGUCACUAUACACAAGUACAAUGAGAUUUAGAGCAUCUCCGUUCGUGCAAGAUGCAUGUAAUAAAAAUCACAAAAAAAAAAAAGUUAAAACGGUAUAAAAGAAGUCAUUCAGGAUAACUUUAACUGACUUUGUUACAUAUUAGACAGUUAAAAUCAGUUAAAGUCAUAUAAAAUACCACUUUAUCCGACUUUAAAGUCAGAUAAAACCAAUUAAGAGACUUUAACCACCUUUAAUACACAUUGAAGUUGGUUAAAGUGGCUUUAUUUUUCUAAAGGUGAACGCUGCCCCCUGCUGGACGUCCUGCAGGUGAACGCUGCCCCCUGCUGGACGUCCUGCAGGUGAACGCUGCCCCCUGCUGGACGUCCUGCAGGUGAACGCUGCCCCCUGCUGGACGUCCUGCAGGUGAACGCUGCCCCCUGCUGGACGUCCUGCAGGUGAACGCUGCCCCCUGCUGGACGUCCUGCAGGUGAACGCUGCCCCCUGGUGGUCGUUGUGACUCCUCCUCUGUGGUUGUU